rnacentral:rRNA from 1 species
UACGUAGGUGGCGAGCGUUGUCCGGAUUUACUGGGCGUAAAGGGAGCGUAGGCGGACUUUUAAGUGAGAUGUGAAAUACCCGGGCUCAACUUGGGUGCUGCAUUUCAAACUGGAGGUCUAGAGUGCAGGAGAGGAGAAUGGAAUUCCUAGUGUAGCGGUGAAAUGCGUAGAGAUUAGGAAGAACACCAGUGGCGAAGGCGAUUCUCUGGACUGUAACUGACGCUGAGGCUCGAAAGCGUGGGGAGCAAACAGGAUUAGAUACCCCCGUA